CGGGUGAGUAACGCGUGGGUAACCUGCCUCAUACAGGGGGAUAACAGUUAGAAAUGACUGCUAAUACCGCAUAAGCGCACGGUCUCGCAUGGGACGGUGUGAAAAACUCCGGUGGUAUGAGAUGGACCCGCGUCUGAUUAGCUAGUUGGCGAGGUAAGGGCUCACCAAGGCGACGAUCAGUAGCCGGCCUGAGAGGGUGAACGGCCACAUUGGGACUGAGACACGGCCCAAACUCCUACGGGAGGCAGCAGUGGGGAAUAUUGCACAAUGGGGGAAACCCUGAUGCAGCGACGCCGCGUGAAGGAAGAAGUAUUUCGGUAUGUAAACUUCUAUCAGCAGGGAAGAAAAUGACGGUACCUGACUAAGAAGCCCCGGCUAACUACGUGCCAGCAGCCGCGGUAAUACGUAGGGGGCAAGCGUUAUCCGGAUUUACUGGGUGUAAAGGGAGCGUAGGCGGUUCAGCAAGUCAGAAGUGAAAGCCCGGGGCUCAACUCCGGGACUGCUUUUGAAACUGUUGAACUAGAUUGCAGGAGAGGUAAGUGGAAUUCCUAGUGUAGCGGUGAAAUGCGUAGAUAUUAGGAGGAACACCAGUGGCGAAGGCGGCUUACUGGACUGUAAAUGACGCUGAGGCUCGAAAGCGUGGGGAGCAAACAGGAUUAGAUACCCUGGUAGUCCACGCCGUAAACGAUGA
rnacentral:rRNA from 1 species